CCACAGGAGAAGCAGCGUGGGUUGUCUGUGACUUCCUCACUGCUCUCCCCUCCCUCUGCCAUUGUCUCCGAUCAUCAUGCAGGCGGAGUAUAAGUUCGACGCCGCGGACCGCAGGCGCGGCCCGCCGCCGAACAACCCCGAGCGCGCGCUCGACUACCGUGAGCACACCGACGAUGACAAGCUGAUGGUGCACGCAAGUCAGGUCAACUACCUCUCUAAGCCACGCCACCGCAAUUGCUUGACGGAGUUUAUCAUCGUUGAGACACCUGUAGUGUCCUUCUUGGUCGACAGCGUUGACCCGUCGCCAUGCCUGUUGCGUCGCUCAGGUCGCCAAGGUACUAAAAAUGAGGAAAAGGGAGUCAGCUAACACACGCCUGCCAUUGAUCGAGAGCGUCGAACCGAACGCAACACGAAAAGAAGCCGCUGCGAUGAUGACUAUGUUGUUUCUCCCUAGUGUCUUCCUCAACUGUUCAACAUCUAUUCAUGGGGGGGAAGCGGGGGGCGUGGGCUUGGAGCAUCCGGAGCCGCCCCCCUGUUCGUCCGAUUCUUGCUCCUUACUUCUUGAGGACGCCAUGGCAUGUCUGUUUCCUUCUGCUGUAGACGAAGGGGCACAGGGCACGGUAGCCCACCACCCCUCCCCCUGCCGUCUACGACAUCCCCAAACUCCAUAAUGGCUUUGGCAACUUAUACACCUACACCAACACACGGACGGGCUCGUGCACUUGCACCGAUACAUGUGCCACCACCAUCCUCAUCACCAACACCAAAGACAACGGGAUACACACAACGGAAAACAAACAGGAGCGCGCAGACACACCUCGCAGCGAAGAAAACUCAAGCAUACGUCGUUGAAGUCUUCCAGAGCAUUGUGGGUUCACGUGUACUUGUGUGCUUGUGUGUGUGUGUGUGUGUGUCUGCGCGCUCCUGUUUGUCUACGCCCACCUCCCUGCGCCGCUCAUUCCGUUGUUUUGUUUUUGUCUGUGUGUUCUCUCUCUCCCCCCCCCCCGUGCUUGCUUCGGAUUCCGUGCGCUUCCCGACCCCCGACUCCUUUUGCUGCUUUGCUCCGAUUUUACUCAUCACGCACGCGCGCACCCGCUGCCCCCCUCCCCCUCUCUCUAUCUCUGCCUGUGAGCCGCACAAUCGUUUUUUUUUCCCCCAAAUGUCUGUGCUUCCCACCCCCCUCCAUUACCUACGUAGGCAUUUUACUGUGUUGCAUGCGCCUUGACGUGGCCCUUCUUCGUCGUUGCCUCUCUGCCUGCGUAUCUGCGAGGCUCCUUGUCGCACACUUCAUGGCUCACCCGCAUUCUUGCCGGAAUUCUCUCUGCACCGCACGCACCUGCGCGUGCAUCUCGCCGUCUUCCAACGCGCAACGGUACGCCUUCGUGUGUGUAUGCGUGUGUGUGUGUGUUGGUGUUGUUGUUGUGCGUGCUUGUGCGAACGAGUGUGUGCACGCGGAACCGUGGCAUCUGUAUGUGCACGUGCGGCGCGAUGAGAGAGGGGGGACGGCUUUCCUUGUGCUGUUUUCGUGUGCAUUCUUGCUUCUUUCUCGACUUGUGUCCUCUUCGCUUCUGAACGACCCCCUAUCGUGAUUUCUCGUUUUGGCGGUGCGGAGAGGCGAGGGUGGGUGUGCGGGCUCUUCUGUUCUUAGUCCUGCUUUCUUUUCUUCUCGUGCUGCCCCCACCCCCCCGUGCUUCCACAAGAAGGCGUGUGCAUGCAUACGUGUGCAUGUGCAUGUGUGCUCUUGCCUUGAUCGCGUGCUGAAGUGGUCCUGCGCCGCCAUCCUUCUCUUCCUCCCAUCUUGCCGAUCGCCGGCCGCUUUCUCUGCCGCUCUUAUCCAUCCCUUUCCCUGUGUUGCACCCCUCAUCGCAGGCGCUUGCUCUCGCACCACGUCCUACCAUCUCUCCCCGUUCUCCCUCUUUUGUCUGUGUAUGCUUGCUCGUCACCCUCCGCUAACCAUCCCUCCACACACACACGCACACGCCGCCGCCCACCCCAUUGUGCGAGGUGGAUGGAUCACUUCCGUUUUCGUUGCUGUUGUUUUAGCGUUGAUGCGUGUGUGGGUGCUCGGAGGAUGGGGGAGGGGAGGGAUGCGUGCGCUAGGCAUUGUGGUACUUGCUUCAUCGACAGCGGUGCAAAACGACAGCCGACGAAGGCCAACGGUAACCGUGUAACGAUUUUUGGGGGAGGGGAAGGGACAUGCAGUGGAGACGAAUGCGAAGGAGCUCGCGCUACUUGCUCAGCACAUGCUGCACUCCUCCGUCGCGUGACCUUCACCUUUUCUAUUUUUGAUCGCCCGCCUCCCUCCUCUCCCCUCCCCCCUCGUCGUUCCCCUCGCGGACGCCCUCGCAAUCUUCUGGCCCCUCUCACGCCACAGUUGGGUGGCAUCAGGGCAAGCAGGGAGGGCCAGGCGGCGAAGCUUUCGCCAACCAUGCGAGCGGGGGUGGGCGAGCCCGGAGAGGCAGCCGGCGCACGGCACGUAUAUCCGUCUCAGAGGUGAAACGGGACGAAGGUGCAUCCGUUCGAAGGGAGAGAGGGCGUCGGAAGGAUGCAAGCACACGCUUCGUCCGCGGCAGCGGAGAGGCCAUGAGGCUCUUUGUGCCUCGGUGGAGAACGCCAUCACGCCGACCCGUGCAGCGCCGUGAGCAUCUUCUUUACCGUAGCACUCCCUCCAGGCUGUCCCAGCACGAGUCGUAUGGCGAGGAGCGAAGGAGUAUCAUGUCCGUUUUUGCAUAGACGCUCUCGGGCGGCGGUGGUGCACACAGCGUGUCUGGGGUGUCCUUCUCUUUGGUCGGCCAGGCCACUCCCCUUUAUCCUCCACCUUUCACCCCACGUACGUUUCUGGUGCGACGUCGCACCGAGCAAAAGCGCCCGAUGCCUGUGCCUGGGUAGAAGUCCGCUCACGGGAUCCCCCUCCCUUUCUCUCCUCCUCCUCCCCGCUGCCUCGCCCUCCAUUCCAUCGCUUCCACCGAAGCCUCUAUCCACGGUCCUCUUGCUCCCCUUCUUGUUUCUGUAUGGCGGACCAAACAACAUGGCGCUUCUUUCUAUGAUGUCGGUCGUCGAAUUCUUUCGCUGAGCGACUGCCCUCGCAUGCACGCCUGUGCUCAUUCGGACGUGAUUCAUCCGCCGGCCACGGCGCACUCAUCAUGCCGCGUGCUGCUUCUUCGUAACCUAG
rnacentral:misc_RNA from 1 species